rnacentral:rRNA from 1 species
GAGUUUGAUUCUGGCUCAGGAGGAACGCUGGCGGCGUGCCUAACACAUGCAAGUCGAGCGAGAAAUAGUCAGACGGAGAUUUCGGUUGAAGGAUGGUUAUGGAAAGCGGCGGACGGGUGAGUAACGCGUAGGCAACCUGCCUCACGCAGAGGGAUAGCCUCGGGAAACCGGGAUUAAAACCUCAUAAGGCCAAGGGGACACAUGUUUUCGUGGUCAAAGAUUUAUCGGCAUGAGAUGGGCCUGCGUCUGAUUAGCUGGUUGGUGAGGUAACGGCUCACCAAGGCGACGAUCAGUAGCCGACCUGAGAGGGUAAACGGCCACAUUGGAACUGAGACACGGUCCAAACUCCUACGGGAGGCAGCAGUGGGGAAUAUUGCACAAUGGGCGAAAGCCUGAUGCAGCAACGCCGCGUGAGCGAAGAAGGCCUUUGGGUCGUAAAGCUCUGUCGAUAGGGAAGAAGACGAUGACNGUNCCUUCAGA